GCAAAAUUCCAUAGGACCUGCUCUGAUAGACUUCAUUAUUCACAGUGAAAAUUGGCGGGAAACAUUUCAGUGAAAUCAGAAGAACUCCUACUGUAUUUAUUUUUCAAAUUGACUAUUACCACGUUCGAAAAUGGAGAAAAUGGAAAAUGUCGAAGAGAAUAGUAAUAGUAGUAAUUGGAGAAAAGAAAUGGAUUCAAACUUGAAGAGAUUACAAUCACUUCUAUUCGGGGUUGAGCGUGCCCUAGAAAGACAAGACUUCUCAGCGGCACAAAUCUUAGGUCUUCGCUUACUUGGGUUUCUUGAUUCACAGUCUAAGAAUGACGUUGAUGAUGCUUUUAUUCAUCCUAUUCGUCAAGAAGUUAGGUCAAAGGUUAACAUUGCGAAUCGAUCUCUUGCUGACGAGUCAGAUCGUCAGGCAUUUGAACAAGCAAAAGUUGAACAAGGUCCAGUGUUUGUGAAACGAGGAGAUAUUGACAUAGAGAAGGUUAAACAAUCAAAGCGAUUUUUAGCUUUUAUUCAGAAGUACAAAACAAGUGGUUCUGAUCAAUCGGUUUCUCGCCCAUCAGUAAAUGGCAACCAAGGUGCUGUUCCAGUAUCCAGCAAUGGUAAUGGGCACCAAGUGUCUCAGGUGAGGCAACUGGACAGGCAAAAUGGUAUUUUCAAUAGCAAGAACUCAAAAGUUAUGACACAGACAAAGUUGACAUCCCUAUACAGUGGCAAGGCCCUCAAUGCAAAUAACAAUUCAUACAAGAAGCCCCUGAACACCAAAAGUAACAGCUCAGCUGAAUGCAUUUCAGAAAACAAUCAGCCCUAUGAACAGUAUAAUCAUCAGAAGAGAGACGGUUUCUCUAAAUAUUUGCUGGUUGACGAGGAUGAAAAAAAUCAUCCAAAUAGUUUGGGUACGAAAAGAAUGCAUUUGGAUGUUAGCAGCCACAAAGAUGUAAUUGAGUUACCUCCUUCGCAGAAUGAAGAAAUAGAUGUUUCUAACAAUUCGUUUGUCACUGCACGGGCAAAAAUGGAAAUGGAUGCAAGACAAAAGCGUUGUUCAAUAGGCUCACCGAGUGAUAAUUCAAGUGUCAGGGGUUACGGCGUAAGAUCUAGUGGUCUUCAGCGCCGUGGAAUUCGUGGUAAUUUUGUUCCUCCUAUCAGAUCUAAUGGAUCUAACAUUGGCCAUAUUAAUUCACGCAUUUCCGGUGGGAAGGGUGAUGAUGCUCUGGAUGAUGCAACAAAGAAAUGCAUGGAAAUUUUAUGUGGACCUGAUGGAGAGCUUCCUGAGAAGUUAAGAAAUUUGGAACCUCGUCUUCUUGAACAUAUUAGUAACGAGAUAAUGGAUCGGGAUCCCAAUGUUCGUUGGGAUGACAUUGCUGGCUUGGAGCAUGCAAAAAAAUGUGUUACCGAGAUGGUCAUAUGGCCUUUAAUGCGUCCUGACAUAUUUAAAGGUUGUCGUUCUCCAGGAAGAGGUCUUCUUCUCUUUGGUCCUCCUGGGACAGGUAAAACAAUGAUUGGUAAAGCUAUUGCUGGAGAAGCAAAAGCAACCUUCUUCUACAUAUCAGCAAGUUCUUUGACAAGCAAAUGGAUAGGUGAGGGUGAAAAGCUAGUGAGGGCUCUUUUUGGGGUUGCCAGUUGCCGUCAGCCUGCUGUUAUAUUUGUUGAUGAAAUAGAUUCGCUUCUUUCUCAGCGCAAAUCAGAAGGUGAACACGAGUCAAGUAGAAGACUUAAAACACAGUUUCUUAUUGAAAUGGAAGGCUUUGAUAGUGGAAGUGAGCAAAUUCUUCUUAUAGGCGCAACAAAUAGGCCUCAAGAGCUGGAUGAAGCCGCACGGAGGCGACUCACAAAGCGCCUCUAUAUUCCUCUACCUUCUGCUGAAGCGAGAGCCUGGAUUAUUCGUAGUCUACUCGAGAAGGACGGGUUGUUUAAGCUCUCAGAAGAGGAUACCAGCGCCAUCUGCAAAAUGACUGAAGGUUACUCAGGAUCAGACAUGAAGAAUCUGGUCAAAGAUGCAUCCAUGGGACCAUUGAGAGAUGCUCUUAGACAAGGGAAAGAAAUUGCAAAACUGCAGAAAGAGGAUCUGAGAACAGUUACUAUUCAGGAUUUCGAGUACUCAUUACGAGAAGUAAGGCCCUCUGUUUCUUCAAGUGAACUUGGUUCCUAUGAGGUUUGGAACAAACAAUUCGGAAGUCUAUCACUCUAAGCAUCAAUCGGUACAUGUAAAGAUAUAAGAAGAGAUAUGUAGCAAAGCUUGUAAUUCAAUGUUGGUCAGAUCAUCAGGUUCUUAGAUUCACCAGCGCUCCGAGCUCCGUCGAGCGAACUUAAGUGGAACCUGCCUUGGAUGAUCAAUAAUCAAUGACCCACCUACGUCGUUACAUCUCUUCUCACACCAGUAUGAGAUGAAACGGAGAGACGCAGCUCCAUCUGAAGGUACUAGGUAUACCCGCAUUUGCUUGUGCACAUUCUUCGUCCACACAUAUUCAUGUUUUUAGCCACUAAAAAAAGUCGAGCAUCCUUGGAC